UUCGAGUAAUCGCUGCAUCUUAUAAGAUGUAGAGGAAAGUCCAUGCUCACACGGCUCUGAGAUGACCGUAGUGUUCGUGCUUACCGAAAAAAUAAGGUAAGGCAAGCAGAUGCUUGACGGCGAAAGGAAUACCUAAGUCUUAUGAUAUGGUAGAAACUUUCUGAAGGUGCCACAGUGACGGAGCUUGCUUGGAAACAAGCAAGGUGGAACGAGGUAAACCCCGCGAGUGAGAAACCCAAAUUAUGGUAGGGGCACUCUCCAAAAGGAAUUGAACGGCUGGAGGGACAGGCAAACGUCUGUAGAUAGAUGAUUACUACCUGAGCGUACGAGGCGAUUCGCUGUUUGAGUACACAGGAACAAAACAUGGCUUACUG
rnacentral:RNase_P_RNA from 1 species